UACGUAGGGUGCGAGCGUUGUCCGGAAUUACUGGGCGUAAAGAGCUCGUAGGUGGUUUGUCGCGUUGUCCGUGAAAACUCACAACUCAAUUGUGGGCGUGCGGGCGAUACGGGCAGACUGGAGUACUGCAGGGGGAGACUGGAAUUCCUGGUGUAGCGGUGGAAUGCGCAGAUAUCAGGAGGAACACCGGUGGCGAAGGCGGGUCUCUGGGCCGAUACUGACGCUGAGGAGCGAAAGCGUGGGGAGCGAACAGG
rnacentral:rRNA from 1 species